UCCUGUCCUCCACCAUCACCACCACCACCAUCAGUUCAUUCCUCCACCACGGACACAAACACGUCUUGAAGGAAGGUUAGUCCGCCGCCCAGAGUCACCUCGGCUGUCUGGCUGGACACCCUGCGUGCCGAGGGACCAGACGAACGGUGGAGGGGCGGCGGUCGGGGUUGCGGGUGUAACACUGUUUUUCAAGAAGCACCAGCAGGAAGAGACGUAGUGGCAAGCCUUCACCGCAACACUCCACACUGCCUAAUCUUCGUCUAUUAAAGUUUGGUGAGAUGAUAAAGACUAUAUAUGGAUGUCCUGCCGCCACUGUUCCCGGGGUUUUCCCCGGGCCACCUCCCCCAGGCGGUCCCCUAGCCAUCACCCAACCCACGCCAUCACCCUUCUAUCGCCAGCCUGCUGGGUCAAAUACUUUUUUUUUCGAAUAUUUCCUGACGGCUCAGACGCGUGGAUGGAAGGAGUAGGAGGAAGACGAAGGAGUAUCAAUGGAGAAGGAUGAAGAAAAAAUGAGAAAUAAAGGUGGAAUAGGAGAAGAAGCCAAGGUGUAAUAUUUAGGUGACGACAGGCAGAAUGAGGUGGACGUGGCGGAGGCUGUGGGCGGUCAAUUCACGGCGCAGAUAACCUACACUUUGCACCACGCUGACUGCCCGCCCCUGUUCACUAAAGUCGGGCAAGCCUUUAUCUCCGUGUUCUGCCCUGGGUAUAGGAGUAAAUGCUGGCAGUGGCAUACCUAAGCAGCGCAUGUGGGACGGCAUCAAUGAUUGCUGCAGUAACGGAGAGGAUGAGUUUGUGCAGCUGUGUGGCAUUGAGGAGUGUCGGGAGAAGAAUGUAGGGUGUGUGUGAGUCUGUUUACAUCAACACUCGAGAGUCAUACUUCUGCCAGUGCCGGCCAUGCAGGGUACAGACUCGUGUCGGAAAGUUCAAGUGUGAAGACGUUGACGAGUGCGUGGAGUCGCCCAGAUCUUCUCC